AGAACACACACUAAUUAUCCCUAGGCCAUGGGAUAAACAAAAGCCCUACAAAAACAAGUUAGCACACCAUAGAAUGGUUCUAUCAUGAUUACUAACCUAUGUCUCUGAUACCAAUUGAAGGAAAAAACUU
rnacentral:pre_miRNA from 1 species